AGUGAACGCUGGCGGCAGGCCUAACACAUGCAAGUCGAACGGCAGCACAGCAGUAGCAAUACUGUGGGUGGCGAGUGGCGGACGGGUGAGGAAUACAUCGGAAUCUGCCCAGUCGUGGGGGAUAACAUAGGGAAACUUAUGCUAAUACCGCAUACGACCUGAGGGUGAAAGCGGGGGAUCGCAAGACCUCGCGCGAUUGGAUGAGCCGAUGUCCGAUUAGCUAGUUGGCGGGGUAAUGGCCCACCAAGGCGACGAUCGGUAGCUGGUCUGAGAGGAUGAUCAGCCACACUGGAACUGAGACACGGUCCAGACUCCUACGGGAGGCAGCAGUGGGGAAUAUUGGACAAUGGGCGCAAGCCUGAUCCAGCCAUGCCGCGUGGGUGAA
rnacentral:rRNA from 1 species